CUCUUCAAAACUCUGGAACUGUAAAUGUUUCGGGAGAUUUUUUUUCUUUUUAAAAAAAAAAAUGAAAGAAAAGUUAUAGUGUUGCUAAUUAGUAAUUAGCAUGCAAAAUCAAACCACGUUUACGAUUUCUUGUUCCAAUUAGGUUGGAGUUGGAGGCAUUGCCAUUGAGCGAGUAAACAACAAACACAACAGUUUCAACUGAUUUUCUGCUUCUUUCUGGAAAAUAACCCGCCAUCCAUCUGAGGAGGCUUGGUGCAACUGCUGGAGUUGUCGCAGUGUGACCCGUAUCAUCAGGGUGCCCUUUAUUUAUAUUUCUAUUUUGAUAGACUCAUCUAGGGUGCAGGGAAGAUGAUGCUUUUGCAUAUAUAGAUUGUGUUCUUUUGUUUUCAUUUUCUUGUGAAUUUUGUCGUCGACAAACCUGCUCACUUUGGUGUUUUAAUGUUUAAUGUGCUUCUAUUCUCUUCAAAUCAUUUUCUCUGUUACUCACUGGUCCAUUGGUCAGGCAGUAGGAUGCCAGAAGAAAUGAUUCCAUUAGAGAAACAUAUGAUCUACUUAGUUUUAGCGAGAUACAUAAAAAAAUAUCCAAAUCAUAAGAAAAUGGCCCUUAAUAACUGCCUGGAGUUCUUUUGCAUUAAAUAAAUUGAGGCCUAUGUAAAGCAUAAUAUUUAACGAAUGUUUCUUCAAUAUGAAUCAUUAAGAUAUAUUGAUCUCAUUUCAAUAUUAACAUUGGUUGGUAACUCAUAAAAAUUUCUCUUUGUUAUGACGUUUGUACCAUUUAUGCCUUGUUUUGUUUUACCUGCUACAUGAAACAUUGUUAAAAUAAUAUGAUAUAGUACUCAAAUCUAAUUUCAAAUACCAUUCCAAAAUCAUGUUCAACCAUCGAGUGUUACCAACUCCAAUAAAUUGGCAUGCAUCUUUGAUAAACUUAUGUUUAAUUCUGGCUACAAAAAAGAAAAUAAUCAGAAUUCCCUGGAACCAAAGUAUGGUUUGUAUGACCGGGUUAUAGUUUCCUCCCCUUGACAAGCAUUUCUCUGAGAGUUUAUAGACAGGGUAUUUUAGUUUAUUAACUAACUUUAUAUGUUGUGAUAAUGUCAUUCCUUCCUAGAUGUGGCAUAUGCUGUGAACUAAUUGAUAUCAUAAUUGCUAUCAUUUGGGGAGGUAUCAGUGUGAAAGAGACAGGUGAAGCAGGGUAUAAUGCAGUAGCAAUUGUAAAGGUGUUAUCAUGUUUAAUUCUACUUUUGUGUAAUCUGACUAUGAUCCUUAUAUUAGAUUCCAGUAUAAUUUAUUUAUCUAAGUAUUGUCUAUAUAUAUAUAUAUAUAUAUAGGUUGCUUAUACUUAAAAUAAAUUUAUGCUUACAACCCCUAUUACUGUUAGAUUAAUAGUGGAGGUGAGUGAGAGGUUAGACAUGUUAGAUCUAAAUUUGGUCCGACGGUAAUAGAUAUAGUUGUAAGAAGUUGUAAGCAUAAACUGGUAGUAAGUAUAAUCAGCCUCAUAUAUAUAUAUGUAUAUAUGUGUGCGUGUAAGUAUUUUUAUUGUUUGGAAGGAUAGAUGAUGUUAGAUAAUAUAUUCUAACCAUAUUCAGGAUCAAUAUAAAGGAUAACAGAUGCAAAAUGUGGCGGCAUAAGAUUCCUUUAUUUUGUAUAAUAAAUUUUGUAUGCGAGUCACUACAUGUUUCCUUAGAACUUUCUUCUAUCUCUGUUCUUUAAUAGCUGUAAAGAACCAAUUCAACCCAAAAGCUUAAGCUGUUGGGUGAGGCUACAUUAAUGGUUUUAUAUAUCUCAACACAUCCCCUCACACGAGAGCCCACUGGGCUUGAAGGGUGGACAAUGCACAUGCCCACCUACCUGUGCGAACAAAGAAAUUCCACUUGAAAGAAAGUGGGGGGCGGUGAGGAUCGAACCUGGGACACGAGGCUCUGAUACCAUGUAAAGAACCAAUUCAACCCAAAAACUUAAGCUGUUGGAUGAGGUUACAUUAAUGCUUUUAUAUAUCUCAACAAUAGCUAUUGAGGAUUAUUAGAGAUCUAAAAGACUAAAACUGUUUUAUAGAUUUACUGAAUAGAGACCAUAGGGGUAUAGCUUGGCCUAGAAUGGUCACUGAUACGUAAUCUUUUUAGUUUUACUUGUUAUACAAAAAAAAAAAAAAAAAAAGACUAAAACCAUACUUGUUUCUCCACCCAACAGCUUAUGCUUUUAAUAAUAAUAAGGAUCUAUGACAUGCUAGUAGAGCUUAUAUGACCAUGUCAGGAGUUUCAAGUGGGCUCUUUCAUGAGGGGCCUUGUUGGUGUUACAAAAGGCCAUUCUUGAGCCUUCACCUAAUAACUUUAGCUAUUGGGAGAGAUGGUCUUGGUCUUUGAAAAGGGUUAAAUGUCAAAGUCUUUCAUAAUGCUUAUAUUAUUUUUUCGUAGUCAAAACCUAGAAAGAUAUGAAAUUUUUAAAUGGCUCUCUCUUUCUGUCUUCUUCACUCACAUGUGCACACAAUCUAUGUCAAACCAUACAAAAGACUCUGGGAAAACCUCUAAACCCAUCAACUUAGCUCCACCUGUUGUAAACACUGGGAUGGCGCUCACAACUGGAGAGCUGUCUAUGUUCUAUGGGCUUAAGGCCUCUAGAAUAAUCAAUGUUUCUAUUGAAACUUUAAGUGAAAUGGUGAUCUCAAACGAAAAUGAAAGACCAAGUUCUGGUAUUGCUGAUGAGGGAAAGGCUGUUCCUUCUGAGUCCAAAGCUUUCAUCUGAAGGAUCUGGUUUCCAGGAGACGAAUGAUCCUCAGAACUGUAGCUCUUCUGGUGCUGUCAAUAACGUGGAUGUCAAUCAACCUACUGAAGUUUUGGUUAAUUCAUCGGAAUCUGAAAACCCGAUUGGAUCAGAUGCUUGUUGAACAACUUAGCUGGAAUAGAUGGAAAAGGAAGUCUGACAUGAUUAGACUUUCUCGGCCUGAGAAUUAACUGGUAAUGCUAGGCACCUGAUUUGACUUAAGUGUUAUUGGAAUGGAAUAGACAUUCCGCUUUAAAGUUUCUUAUAUAUCUGGAUGGUUUUUUUCUUUUGAAGUAUUGUCC